rnacentral:lncRNA from 1 species
GAACUAGCGCAACAGGCAAUACUGUCACAUAAAUCUCUAACAAUACAGGAAGCAGAGAAAGGAGGAAAACCAUUUUGCAGGGCAGAUUUUGCAGGGCAGCUGAGACAAGCCUCUUUUGUUAGUGAUGACGUUACCUGGGUUUACUCAAAUCAUUUGUAUGGCUUGUGAACUUCAGCAGAUAUACUCUAUUAUUACCAUCACAAAAAUGGUAGCAUAUUUUUCUCUUGUUUUUGAUGUUUGUGGUUCAUCAGUUCGCAUCCGUUUUUCCUGUAUUUUAAAAAUAACAGUGGGAAAUAAUGGAAAAGAUAUUUAUAUUAAAAUCUUGGAUAAAGAACACUUCCGGAGGUUCGCGCAUGAAAAAUCCUAGCUUAGCGGAAAAGGAUAGAAAUCAAUAACCUUGCUGCAAAAUAAAUAUGCACAACAAAAAGCAGGUUUAGAAAAGCAGAAAUGAGCCUUAUUCCAAUCAAAGCAGGUUUAUAAAAGCAGGAAGGAUCAUGCAAGAGAACCCAAGAUGCACCAAAUUUUGUUUUUCUUUCGUAUCAUUUCUAGUUUUAAACUAGACUGGAUCAUCUCAUACUACAUAAAGAUCUCGUCACAUUUUGAGAGACGUACAUAUAGUAUAUUAACUUUUUUUUGUUACUAAUGCAUUUAGCGGGAGAUUGGUUGCCUCCCAUAUCUCAUAAACUCCACGUUGGAGUUUGCUUAGAGUGUUGGAUGAAAAUUUCACACUUCUCUCUGUUUUUUUCUCUCUAACACUAACUGUUGUGCCCAUCCCUAGGAAGAUUCCUUCAGAGUGAAUGGUGUCUAACGUUUUAGAGACCUCCUCUACUCUUCGUCUUUCAACAUCAAAUAGGUAUUCCACUCAAAAUGGACUGGUAUAACUUUGUUCCUGAAAUAAGGCACUCUUUCAUUCCUAGGUCAGGAAUAAAAUAAUUCAACUAAAAGGAAAAAGGAAUGACGAUUCUUUUUCUAAUUCAUGAACCGGCAAGCUUGGCCUAUAACGUUGUCUUGCUUUAAAUGGAAAUCAAUCUCAACAACCAUUAGACUUGCGAUCACACAAGGAUGGUUGGGAAUACAUACUUUCUUGAAAAGAAAUAAAUUGGAAUUUAGAAGCAGUAGUAUGAAUAAUGGUUGUGGUGAUAGAAAGAAGUGAGUGACUUGGGAUCUAAUCUAGUGUAUUCAUAGGCUAUCAAUACACUUAUGAAGAGGUGCAUCCCUUCGCUAUCAUGUCUUACUACCAAUAGUCACUUAUCAAGAGGCACCUAUUGAUUCAAAUCAAAUGGCCAUCAAUCACAUCCCUUCACCAUCAUGGCUUUUCAUUACAGUAGCUAUCAUGCAUGUCUCUUCAUGACAUCUCUUUAUUUCAAUUUUGAUUCCAACCAACCAUGUGAGAAGUCCCACACGCCGGUUUUUGAUCUUAUAUGCUUGUUUUUACGAUAUUUGGAUCCAAUCGCUUUGAAUACAUGCUAACUAUAGUAUGAUUUUGCAUCAUGCAGCUAAAUGACACAUAAUUAGUACGUGUCUUCAUAUUCUUCUUACCGUCUAGCUUGAGCGAUGUUGCAUGUACUCAGACAUAAAAUCCAGAAUACACAAAAGAAUAUUUAAAAAUAUCAUUUGUUAAAGUUUUCCAUUAUUCAUUUUUCUCAUUCAAACUUCUAAGUUAUCUUAAAAAUUUGGAAAAUAAAAAUUUAUAAAAUUAAUUUAAUAUAUACAUUCUUGACUAAUCUCCGAAAAAGAAUAAAGUUUCAUUUAAGCAUUGCAAUAGUGAAGCAAACUAAUUGUUAGAGUCUGCUAUUAUCAAUUUCUACAAAUGAAAAUUAAUAAGCCUUUAUAAAUAUCCGUGUCUGGCAUAUCUGGCUCAUAUACAUACCCGAAAAGGAUUCUAGGAGUUGGACGCAAGUUAUAUACAAUAACUGCUACCCUUCAAUGCAAGUAAGCUAAUUUGUUGUUCUUUCAUGCAAAUGCAUGGACGUUAGCUGGCCGCCUUUCUUCCAGGCAAGGCAACCAAACUUGGCCACUUGCCAUGUCAUUCCAUGCAUGUCGACGAACCAUGGGCCCUCGCCAUCACAUCCAACCAUUACUAAAGGCAUUAGGCUCAACUUUGCAUUGGCUUGCUUAAGCUCAGACAGCUCCUCAACCACUGCAAUGUUGAAGAUUGCCUUCCCUUUCUUCUUCGAAUUUUCAUCUUUCAAUGUCUCUCUUUGGCUAAAACUCCAGAAGAAGCUUCCAACACUUCUCUUUAGUAUUUCCAUAGAUGUUACAGUAGUCGCAAUAAUUUUUCUAAGUUAUGUUGACGUGCUUCCUACUUCUUUGAUCCUUCCUAUCCUAGUUUUCCAUGAUCCCUUCUAGCCUUUUCUAAGCCAAUUUUUCUACUUGAUCCCCAUGGCCUUCAUGCUAGCUUCAUUGAUGUCUUCAACUUUGAAGAGCUUCAGCUCUUUUUGAAUUCUCUAAUGGAGACCUCCAACGUCCUUCAUGAAGAUCACAUGAUCAUCGAUAGAGAUUUUAAGUGAAAUUGCUUGCUUGUGGAACUCGAUGGUAUAGUCCUAGAUAGAUUGAUCAUACUUUUGAGACAAAUAUUGCCACUUGAUCCACUGAUCAUUCUUGUGGCCAAUUGUAAAGAAUUACUUCUUGAUUAGACCCAAAUUUGCUCUAUGUCAGAUUAGAGACACCGUUGUUCCUCAUAUAUGAAUUUCACAAGGUAAGAGUAUGGUUGGAAAGCUUGAGACAACAAAAGCUACCUUUUAGAUACUGGUGUAGCUGUAGUAGUAAAAUAGGACUCUAACUGGUCUAGCGAGUUAUCCAGCUUCUUUGCAUCGAUAGCUCCAUCGUAUAUACAGAUCUCGAUUUGAGCUUCGACUUUAAAAACCUAAAGAGAAGGAUUUUGAGUGCCUAUCUGUUGCUCAUCCUUCUUGCAAAAGGAUAGAUCCUUGUCUCCAGACGUGAGAGACAACUUCGCAACAAGAGUUGCUAGUGCUUGUGCCGAAGACAUCAGUAAUCGAGACACGAUCUCGAUAAGUUGGGUAAUCUUCUCUUCUAAUUGUGUGACAUGUCCCUUCAUCUCAUCAUCUAUCUAAGUAGAACUAGUAGCUAUACUCACCUUAAUCCUUCAAUGUACUUCAGGCAUGAGUAGUCUUUCUCCCGUCUACUUAUAUUGCUCAUAUAUUUGGAUCAUAAACUGACCUCCAAAAAUGUAACAAAAUAACAAAACCAAUCACUAUUUGGUAUCUCUCGUCCAUCACUCUUAAUUGGUAUUACAUUUUCAUGUCUAUUCUCCCCAAAUUUACAUUCCAUAUACUCUAUCUUUGUUCUACAUAGAAUGAGAUAGAUAGAGGUACUAAGGGAUAUUGCAUGGUCUCAAUGGAAAUGGUUGAAAAUUGCUUGGCAACUAUUAAAUAAGAAUAUGACUACUGUCGAUCAGGGAUUGCAUGGUUAAAAAUACUUUUGUAUUGCUAUUGAAGGAGCAUUGGCUGCAUCCAAGGCAUUGAAUGUCACCAAAACAGGUUUCAAGUGCCUAAACCAAGACCAACUAAUCUACUGUCUUAAACAUAGUGACCACCUAAAGAAAAAACUUAGACAAGCUUGUUUCGCAAUUAAAGUAUUUUCAAAUAAUAGGACAGUUACUAUAUAUAGAACUAAACAAGAUAUAGAAUAUGUAGUUGGAAGGUUAGGCAAAUAUACUAAAACCCCAACAAAGAAUGUUUGACUAUUUCAAAAAGAAUACUUUAAUAACUCACAGGAAUCAUAGGUUAUUUCUUGUAUUAUUUCAUGAGAGUGCUCAUUUACAUUUAGGUUCAUGAAAACAUCCAAGUUGAUUCCAUUAUUUAGUGCCCCGAAUGCGGCCAAUGUCCCUUCUAUGGUCAAUCCUGGAACUCUCUUAACAAGGUUGUGCAAUCCCUAAUUACAUACACAUUUGCCCUAACAGCUAUGUUAUUAUCCAAUAAUUAUUUGAGCAAUUCCCACCCUUUCCUCCCAAAUCAUGCAAUAUUUGUUAGUACCUCCACUUUUGCCGUUGCUCUCCUAACGCAUGAAGCUAAAGAAGAUGAACUAAUACCUCACCUCUUGCUUAAGAAUGUUAUUUGAUUAUUAGAUGGGAUAUUUAUAAGAUAAAAGUUUGACACACUUGCACUAGCUUCACUCAAAUGGAAACCUCAAAUGGAAACCAUAUCAUAAAGGAGUGAUGGACGCCUCAAAGGCAUGAUUUGAUGAUGUUACUUUUUCAUUUAAGACUAGACGUAUGGAUUAAUUUCAUGUUAUCUGAUCUGGCAUUAGAAUUGUCAUACUUAGAGCAUCAGAAAUAUUCCAUGUUUCCUGGAUAAAGACUGGGACUUUCACCUUCCGACUCUGUUAUGUAAAUUGUCUACCUCCAUAGUUAUCCAAAAGGAACUGAUCCUUCAAUAUUCAUAUCGAUUGUUUUUCUAGUAGAUCAGUCCAAUUAGCCAAUCAAGUUUUAGGGAUCAUUGGUGCACUUCUACUAGAUAGUAAAUCUCUAUAUUGCUCUAGGAUGAUCAUUUCCUAAGGGUGAUUGAAUUUGUUGUCAUGCUUAAAGAUCUGCAGAUGAAAAGAAAAUAGAGCAAGAACAAUAACUUUCUGGGUUAAAAAAAUCUUCUUGAAACUUAGGGAAAACAAUAGAUAAAACUUUAUGCCUAAAUGGUAAUGAAUCAAAUCUUGGACGCAAGAAAAUAUGUAAACCAACAUUAAUUGAGAACCAGAAUAAAAUUAGUCAAAAUAUUUCUAACUAGUUUUAUGAAUACGUCAAAAAAAGUUUCGAUGACAUAGAUCAAUUUGAAUAUGAUGCUAUAAACCUAACAUAGAAUUAGGCACAAAUAUUCACGAAGUCAUUGUUGUGGUAAAUUUGGAUUGAAUCUAAAUGAUUGCAGGUAACCAGUAGAAAGAUUGUAGCCCUGUGUUAACUUUAUAAAAUUACAAUUUGAAAUAAAACUAUAAUCAUCAAUCCAUGCCUCCAAAGGAAGUAAAGAAAAUAAUAGAUUUUAUAAAACUUAUACAAAGAUUGUGUGGAUUUAUCUCAUCUCAUCUUUCUUGCUUAAUUAAUUUCUGGUGCUCAGUAUAUGGGAGAAGAUAGUGAAAUGAUUCCAUUACCAACACACCACUUUCUCCCAUUCCAUCGAGCACUCUAGCAUUGACCUCAUACUCCCUUUCUCUAAAAGCAUAGCUCAAACAAAUCACACAAAAAUAAUAAAGAGAGCUAGGGUUCAACAUACCUCGCUAGGAUUCUGUCAAGAUAGAGGUUGAAGCCACAGUGGGGAAUCAAGCAGACACCAUGGAAGAUGCAGCUAUAGCCAACAACAAAGCACAAUAAAGGAUGCCAAUCAAGAGAUGUAGCAUAAUAAAGAUCAGUGGGAGAACCCCACCACCUUAAAGGAUGACAAUCCGAUUUUUGGUACUGCAUACCAAAGGGAGGAGCCCGACAACAUCAGGAGGUGGCACUAGCAUUGAGAUCGUUGUGGGAAAAGAAGGGGUAAGAUGCUUGGGAAAGAGAGGGAGAGGAGAGGUUAGGGUCAAAGAGAAUAGAGGAAAUUUUCGAGGGCACUGACCAAAAUAGGCAAAAGAAAAAGCAUAAAACAUGGCAUAAGCCCAUACAUUGGGUCCAUAUGGAAUAUUUAUGCCAGUAAAAUGUUAGGGCUCGUUUGGUUCGCGAAAAAAAAGAGAAAAAAAUGUGGUUAAUAGAAAAAUAAUGAAAUGCCUCUUAUUUAGUUGGAGUUUUCAAAGAAAAAAGAUGGAAAAGUUAUAUUUCCAUUAGAAUAUGAUUUCCACAUUUCAUGGAAAAGUCUUUUCCAUGAGAAACAUGGGAAAGUUACUUUCCUAUGAGACAGGAAUCACUCCAUUUUUAUUUUUUUUCAAAAAGACCUUUCAGCAUUAAAAAAGCAUUAAAGAGGCAUUAAAGACCUAAUUUUUGUUAAGGGCAUAAUAGAAAUUAUGCAUAACUUUUCCAGAAAAGUAGAUGGCCAACCAAACAUAAACACUUUGGAAAUUUGUCACUUUCCCAUAAUCAACCAAACAUUCCAAAAGUAUUUUCCUAGGCAUCCUCUUUCUAAAAAUUUGUUUCCCAGAAAUCAUAUUCCUAUGAGAAAAAAUGCUUCCCGCGAACCAAACCUCCUUAAUGGAAAUCCUUAUCCUAGGCUUAUCCCUCCUUUAGGUUUUCUAGAAUCCUAAACUCUAAAACCUUUAGGUGGUGACUACAUAGCUAACAACAACUAGCUCUACGGAAGCAGAUGAUCCCAUGUCAAGGUUGCAGUAAAUGAAAAUUAAAUGGCAAAAAUGCAACAUAAGGAAUAUAGUUGGGAGGCAGGGGUUGAAAGGAGUUUAAAAGAUCCAUAACAAUUUGUCUUCAAUAAAUUUAGAAAGCUCAAGAAAACUAAGGGUUAUACCAAGCGAAAGAGAAGAUAUGGUGGAAUGUGCUACACUAAAGGGUUUAUUAAAAUAUAACUUCUGUGGAAAUAUAUAUAUUAAAAUGCGGUUAAAGGAAAAAAAGAAGCAAAUCAUGACGUUAUAAUAGAUUUGGCGAGCCAAACACUCAAUAGCAACAAAAUGGAGAAAGAAAACCAUAAAGUUAAAAAUUUAGUCAAAAGAAUGUAGUUAACGUAUAUGACUUGAACACUAGGAAAUAAGGUUAGCAUAAGAUUGUAGGACAUCGGAUAGCAGCUGACGUGGGACUAAAAAGGGAAAAAAUAGUGUGGUGAUGAAGGUUGAUAUUUGAUAGCAAUGCAGGUCCUUAGCUAGAAAGAUGGAACUAAUAUUUCAUGAGUUACGACACCAUAUUGACAUAACAAUUGGAUCAGUUGGAUCGAACAAAUUGGUGCUUUAUUGUUUUAUGGGAAUCCAGUGAAAUUAAAUGAAUGGAGACAUGGGAUCUACUAUAGUUGAUAUACUUAAAAUCUUGUUGAGCAUAGCUGUUGUUAAGGAUCGCACAUAAGGUUUUGUCUAAUAUGGAAUAAUUAGUAGAAGAAGAUAAUUGAUAUGGCUGGUUGGGCCCAAAACUUAACAGCUUAAGGUUUUGAAUUAACUUUUGUUCUAAUAUGUAUGUAUUCCAAUCCCUUCACUUCCUAACAAGUGGGAUCAAAAUUAAUAAAUGAUGAUUUCAAAAAACUCUUGAAGUUAUAAGUUGUAAAAAUUGUUGGCCUUUUGCGAAGAAUGGUAACAUAUGGGCUGAUGGAGCCGGGCCAUAGUGGCCAUGAAAGUCAAGCAGAUAUAGUAAAUAAACUUGGUAGAAGAAGUUGCUCGCUUUGAGCAUGGCUUCAAGUUAUGGUGGUUGCGGAGUGUCGAGUUGAUAUGGCUAGUAGACUCAAUAGAACAAUACACUAGAUUUGAGCGCGGCUCAAAUAUGAUUUCCAAAAGAGUGAAAUAUUGUAAGACCAUCGUGGCUCUUAGAGAGCGGGCUUCUCUUGGGCUUAAGUGGUAAUACACUAUGGUAAAGUGUGGCCUAGCUUUUAGAAAGUGGGAUCAUGCGGGAGAUUUAGUCCCACAUGGAGCAAUAAGUAAGAGCAUGGUCUGCUGUAUCGAUCCGUACUGGCCGGUACGGGCCGGUACGUACCGAUCCGGCUUGGAACCGGUACCGGAUCAGCGUGGAAUCCGGUACCGGAUCAGCGUGGAAUCCGGUACCGGUAGCUUAUCGUUGAAGAACCGGUAUAGGAUCGAUACGAACCGGUACGAGACCGGUAUGGGAUCGGUACGUACCGGUUCGGGCCGCUACCGGUACGCCGACUGGUACCGGUACGGCGGACCUUGAGUAAGAGGGAAGAUAAUAGAUAUAUAUGAUUAGGCCCAAAACCUAUUCUAACUUAUAUUAUUUUUCCAGAUUGGAUUCAAACUCCAGCACUUUGUAUUGAUGAUUUUUAUGAAAUUAAUGGAUAUAACUAAGAAAUUGGGUCAGAGACUUUCGACAUAGCUUGAGUUAUCUAAAUAAUGAAAAUGUGGGGCUCAAAUAAUAUGAAUCAUAGCUUACUACAAAACUCCGCACUAAAAAAGGUAUAACUUAUCCUAGAUCUAGCAUUUUAAAAUACUUUGACUUGAUGUUAUGUCUAGUCUAUUUUUCAAAAGUAUAUCUUUUUACAUAGGUUAGGUCAUCUAAAUAGUGAAAAGGCGGGCCUCAAAUAAUACAAAGUAACUUACUAUAGAACUUCAAACUAGAAAAGAUACAUUUUGUUCCAAAUUCAUCAACUUAAAACACUUUGACUUGAUGGAAUGUCUAAAAUCUAUUUCUCAACAAUAGUGAAAUAUUAUUGCUAGUUAGAUAUUAUUAAUACAAACAUUGCUUUUCUAAAUGAUGGCUUCUUCUUGACAAAACAAAAUUUAUCCAUAUUGUUCUCAUUCGUAAAAGCAAGAAUCUUAGUUGCAUCAAAUCAUUUUGAAAAUUUUGACCACUUAAUUGUAACAAGUGCUGUACUAAAUAUUAUAUGAGAAAAUUAAAGUGUUUUUGUUGUUGGGCAUUUAAUCACAUAUAUUGUUUAUAUUGCCUUUGAAGUGGUUCAUUAUUUGGAAAACAAGCAUACGUGAAAAAGGCCAUUUGACUUUGUACAUGCACAAGGCUUAUGACAAAGAAUAAAUAUUUUUUCUAAAGAAAAUGAUGCUCAUAAUGGAUUUUUGAAAAUGGGUAAUUUUGAUUGUGAAAUAUUUUACUUUUUUUGGUGAAAAAUAGGAGGGGGGAGGGGGGGACGAACCCACCCACGUAGCAGCCCCCACUGGGCCCCCCCUUCCACUAAGGAAUGUUCGAUGCAGGUCGCAAAUUUCCGCAUGCCCUCCCUGACCCAUGGGCUCCCCUACUGGAAUCAACAGCCACGUGUGAGUAUAUCACCCCAGCACCACCAAGGCUACCGCCCGCGCGUUUCGAACUCGGAACCACGAGGAUGGAAGUAAGGCCCAGUUCCACUAAGCUACCACCUCAGUGACUGAAAUAUUUUACUUUGAUAACCUACCACUUUCAUAAUAAAGAGCAAAAUGAUUGUAUUUCUCCUUAAAGGAGUCUCCAAUAAGGGGACCCUUAUCUUGUUAUAUUUUCUUAAUACAAGAACAUAAUAGUGUUUUAAAAGAGGGGAUUAGUAUGUUAAGGGAGUGAAACAAUGGGCUACCUGACAAAUUCUUGGAUUUUCCAAAAAUAAUUAAGAAAUAAAAAUGAUAGAUGACCAGUUUAAUAAAAAAGGAUGGAGAAAAGCUUCAAGUAUGGGAGUAGAAAAGUAUAGGUAUAUACUAAGAACUAGACCGGUCCAAGUAAUGUCUUGCUUUUUUCCAAUAUAUUGUGCUAGGCUAGGAGUGUCAAAUGAACCGAGCAGCUUGAGGUUGGCUCAAGAAAAGCUCAAAUUAAGAUUAAUUUGAAGCCAAAUAAAGAAAGAUGGAAUCAGCAAAACAAAUCCAAAAUUAAUUUCAAGUCGAGCCAAAAAUCUGCUCAACUCAAUCAAGCUUUACUCGAUUAAAGCUCCAAUAUAUUUAGAUUAUCUAUAUUUCUUAUAUAAUGAAUCAUCGAACCAAAGUUUGAAAUCAAGAUUCAAGAAUUUAUUUAAAUUUGAACCAAGCUUGAUUUAAUCUUAAGUUGAUUUCUGUUCGAUUUAGGAUUAUCAAUUUGAUCAAGCAUGUUUAUGUUAAGAUUAAAUCAGGACUGAAUCAAGCUUGGUUAGAGCCAAACUCAAUCAAAUUAUUAGUUGGACUAAAUUUAGUGCUGAGCUGGUGGAUCGAUCCAAUCACAUAUGAACAUAAUCAAACACGGAGAAAUAAAAAAGAGAGGAGAAGCUUGGGCACUUUUUUUCUCCUUGUUACUUUCAACUAAUUCGGUGGUAGAUCGAGUCCAACUAAAAAUUUCUCCUAAUGCCAAAUUGAGUUGGAUCCAGCCCAAUCACACCCGCUGCCUUGCAUCCGAAUGGUACGGACCAAAUCAUCACCGUUCAUUCUAUAUAUUUUCUAAGUGACGAAAUUACCCUUAGGGUUUGGCUAUCGAUUUGUCCAAAACCUAGCAUUAUAAAUAGUCAUAGCACAGCCGCCGUUCCCUUUCAGAGAACAAGAGGCCGCUCGGAGGAGGAGAGACAAAGGGAGGAACUCAGCGAUUUGCGAAGAGAUGAGGGCCAAGGUAAAAUUUCGAAUUCCUCCGCCUUUUGGUUUCAUUUCUUUCGAUCCCUCUGGUUCAUCAGAGGUCGGUAUUACCUAAAACCCCCCGGAUUAAACGCAUUCCCAUUAUUUUUUCGUUUUUUGCCUUCUUGUGAUUUGUCUACCCGAUUCCGUGAUAAAGGAGUGAAUUUUCUGAGAUUUCUGGAUGGGUUUUUUCUUGUGACUGGUCAUCGAUCUUCGUAGUUUUAGGACUGUGAUAUCAUUUUAUUAUUCGAUGUUUCUUUCUUUUAUGUUUUGAUUUUUUGUGGAUUUUGUUAUGGAGCUCUGUGUUUUGUUGAUGUCUGUGAGAAAGGUUGUUUCAUUUUCUUCAUGCUGUGGAAAAUCGUGUAUUUAGGGUUAGUAUAUGUUGAAUUCCUUAAGGUAGAGGCUUAGUUGCUUCAGUCCCGCGAGAAGAGGUUUGAUUUGUUGUUCUUAUAAAUCAUCAGUGGUUGAAGAUCUGUGAAGAAAAUGCUUGUAUUUGCUUAUCUAUCGACCUUUGCCGUAUCAUAACUUGGCUGUACUUCUGGCAGCCCUUAAGACAUGUGAUUAGUACUAAUUUUUAAGACAAAUGAUUUUUAGGGCAUAUAUUUACGUGUCCUUUGGUUUUUAAUAUAAAAUGUAAGUGGUACAAUUUGUUAUUUGGAUUGGGAUGUGUCAUUUGGGUAAAUUUGAUCUUGUAGUUUGAAGUUUUAUUCGAAAGCUUGUGAUCCAUUCGUCAUUUAAGUUGGAGAUGAUUGCUUCAUGUCUUUUAGCCUUAACAUUUUGGCUGAAUGGUUGAAACAUUCAUCUAAAGGGCACUUGAUCAGCAUCUCUGUCCAUCUUUUUGUGAUUCAAUGUCAUGGUAUUUUGCUUUUAAAUUGUGUUUAUGAUGUUUGGCACUUUAUUUUCUUGCAUGCGAUCAUUGUGUGCUGUGUCUGUGCUAGAAUGACGAAGGUAGCACAUAUCUUCCGUAUAUUCAUUUCUAGAGAGAUGGUAAAUUGUGUGGUCUCAUGUUUUAGUUUCUUGUAUUUGCUAUUUUAUUUGAUGUGUUUUUUCUUUAAUGUUUUAACUAGCAAAGUUCAACUGAUUCGUGGUUCUUUUAUUUACAAGAGCAAGUUCAACUGGUCAAAGACAGCAAAUGUCAGUGCUGUCAGUCUGAAAAAUUGCUUGAUAAGAGUUUUCUUUAUUGAUAAUUAAUUGAGCUUGAGAUCUAUCAGCUUGCUUGUUUUUCAGCACGUUAAAGCUUAAAAUAUUUAAAGAAAUAAAUAAUAUGUUAUACAUAUUAUUUGAUUUAGUAUUAGAUAAUAAAUUUUACUUUUUAAGUUCUGAGAUUUUGAUGUUUGGAAAAUGAUGCAAGAUAAGUCAGAUGUUGGUUCUGAGAAGCAGUAGCCCUUUGCACUGCCUUUGCUGAAUAAUUUGCACGUCAGUCUGAUUCCAAACCCUCUUUAAUAUGACUGGUAUGACCUAAUGUUACUAUGUCAUUUGCUUGUAUUGUGAUUUAUGCGCCUUGCGUGCGUUUUCUUUUUUAUUUUACCGGUGGUGCUUGUACCCCAUCAGCUCCAAUCACAUCAAAUUGAAUGAUGUCUUUGAAGUCAAUAAUCCUUGAUAUGGUAUAAUUAAUGUGCAUCAACAGGAUUUACAUAUAUAUUUCAGUUGUUUCUUUUUAGGUUAUUUCUUCUCUUUCUUUAUUUUCGGUCAUGUCGUAUUGGGAAAUGAUGCAAAAUAUGAAUCAGAGGCUGUUUCUGAGAGGCAGUAGCAAUUUUGCUUUGCCUUUGCUGAAAAAUUUACACGCCAAUCUGAUCCCAGGCCCUAAUCAAUGUAACUUAGUUUCAAUAUAGCAAGUAUGAUUCUUAUUUUACUACAUAAUAUUUCAAUGUAACUUAGUUUCAAUAUAGCAAGUAUGAUUCUUAUUUUACUACAUAAUAUUUUUAUGUUUAAUUGAAAAAAUGAAGUAAAGAUUGCUCUGAAAAGUCAUGGAGAGGUAGUUGCAACUUUGGGAAAUGAUGCAAAAUAUGAAUCAGAGGCUGUUUCUGAGAGGCAGUAGCAACUUUGCAUUGCCUGUGCUGAAACAUUUAUAUGCCAAUCUGAUCCCAUACUUCAUUUUAUGUAGUUUGUUUCAUUAUAGCAACUAGGGUUCUUAUUUUACGACAUAAUGUUUUUCUAUUUAAUUGAACUAUAGUGGAAUUAUUAAAUUGUUUUAACUAUAGGGGAAUUAAGCUUAGAAUGCUGCUAAGAAGUUAUGGUAAAGGGCACUGUGUCAAUGUAUUGCAUAUGUAUUCAUUCUUGUAUAUAUUUAUGUAAUUGAUUCAUCGUGUAUUAGGCAAGCUGACAGGUGCCUGUGCUUGCAUUCUUGUUAUUUAAAUGGUUGCAUCUUGACCUCUAAAUGCUAGCUGCAAGUUGAGCGCUGUAAUAUGUUUAAGAAUAUUGUUGACCAUUUCUGUUGUUGCAUCAAAGAUUUUGGUUUUUCUCUUUAUAGGUUAAUUUAUUCACCGAUUUGAUUGCUUUCUAUCUUUGAGUAUAUAUGUUUCUUUGCAUGUCUUUCAGAUCCAUGCCUCUUGAGCAAUGUUUACUUUAAAAUGAUCGAACUUUGGAUGUCUGAUGGGUUAUUGAUUUGCCUGUCAGUUAUUAAUGCUAAAGUUAAUUGCAUACCUUCAGUUCACUGGUUGAAUCUUGGAGUUGCUUCUUUGCUGCUAACCUCCCNNNNNNNNNNNNNNNNNNNNNNNNNNAAAUAGGUCUUGAACUAUAAGAACUUCUUGCUAAAUAUUGUUUGCUGUGAACUCCUCUACUAGUUGAAGACCCUUAGCAUGAUCACUUACGGCGGUCCUCAAGUUAGUUUUUUUUUGUGGCUAUGAUUCUAUGCUCGAUUAAUUUUUAUACUUUCUGAGCUAUUCAUUUUUCUCAGUGGAAGAAGAAGCGAAUGAGGAGACUUAAGAGGAAGCGCCGAAAGAUGAGGCAGAGAUCGAAGUAGGUGAUGAAGGUGUCAGCAUCCUUGUGUCAACAUCUCACUGAAUGUGGUGUCUAUCCUGAUUCAUCCACCUGAUGUUGAGUGUGUUAUAGGAGGCGAAGCUACCUUCUGUCCUUUAAUUACUUGUUUGGCCGUAAUAGAAGUUAGAUGUUCUGCUUGACAGCGUAAUUCUCUUGUGUUUUGUUUAACCAUUGAGAACUUGUUUUAAGACAUUUUAUCUAGAAACAAUCCAAUGCCAACAUCGGGAUUCCAUCAAGUUUUUAUUUGGAAAUGUUUGUGCCUUGAGUGCUAUAUACAUGUAUAUAUAUACACACAUAUAUAUAUAUAUAUAUAUAUAUAUGCAAGGAAAAAGGGAUUCUGCUAGGUACGGUUUCUUUAUUGGUUCUCUCUUUAGAUGAUCAGGAGAGGUUAAUCACCAUCAUCCUAUGCGUCAUCGCUUGAGACUGACUCCAAAUUAGAACUAAGCUCUUUUAUCCUUGCUUAAAUGGUAAGGAGCAAUACCAGCCGAACAAAUAGUGGGAGCCCUUGCACAGCUGGGGUCAUUAUUAUGGUUAUUUUUCAUUGUACGGCAAUAAAGCUGUCUCAACAGAACUAUUUUAUUCUCAACAUCGUAAAUUUCUUUGAAACAUGAAAUUUGUUGUUAUUCAGUUAUUGGAAACAUUAUUAUUUUGCAGCCAAUUUAUUAGGAUUAGUUCAAUCUGGCAAGAGAACAGGAUAUAAGUUAAUGGUUUCGAAAUAGCCUUGUCUCCUCAUUUACCUGCCACCAACCUAUAUUUUAUUUAUACAUCAGUAUAGAAUUCUCAAUUUUUAGUCAACAUGGUUUAAGUUAGAGCAUUGGCAAAAACUUGAUGCUUUCACUAUUGAUUUUACAAGACUGCAUGAUACGGUUAUUGAUCCAAACGACAAUUAAUUCAGAAUAGUUCAUUUGAUGUUCAGCUUGCACUUUGCCAUUUGAUUGAAUACCCACAGGAACUUAAUCCAAUAAAUUAGAUCUAAAAACUUCUUUUGAUCCUGAUAGCUCAACCAACCAUAUUUCUCCUUAACAAUAGUUUGAUAUUGAAGCAUAAUGGUUCCUAUUAACAUAGCAGAUCUUACUUACCACAGGUGGUCAUCUUGAUGCAACUGGCUUCGUAUCUAUGGAAGAAAACUAGUUUAGUAUUACAGACAUAUCAACAUUCAGUCAGGCUAGACCUGGUCCUCCCAAAAAUUUGCAAAAGAUCGAUCAAUACUCGCAUUAUCAUCGGCCUUUGCUCUUGUUGCUCUAUGGUAGACAGCACAACAAAGAUGGCAAUUAUCAGCAGAUGAAGCAAUGGUGGGAUUAUGACUUGCAUUGGCCUAGGUUAUUAUUGCCUAUCACUAGCAUGAUGAUGCCUUUGGUAACAAGGCAAGGCCAGCGGAAACACUUUCCACCACCAAAUUCCAGAAUUCAGCAGAAUGCAGGUCAGAGCUGCUGGUUCCUCAACACCUAGGAUCGUGACAUGGAAGAUGUCAACAAUUAGAAGAUAGCUGCUACUGCAGGAACUUCCUAUCUUGAAGCUAUAGAUCACAGGAUUGGACUCGAAAUUAGGUAUCUUGGACAUGAGUCAUGCUGCCCAACAUUACCUAGACGCUUGCAUUUAGCUCCAAAAAUCUAUUUUGGAUGGUCGAAUACGUAUUGGAUGCUUAGAUACAUAUGAAGGUCUUUGGUAACUAUUGGAAGAGAGUUGAACUCUUCCAACAAUGAGUGAGUAAGUUGAACUCUUUCAACAUUGAGUUUAAUUCUCUAAUUUGAUAAUAAAAAUUAAUUAUUAUAAUUUGUUAAAGAUAUAAAUAUUAUAAUAAUUUGAAAAAAAUACUAUUUUGCUAACAUUCUGAAAAGUUUGAAUGAGAAAUAUAUAUAUUGAAAGAUCACCCGUGGCUAAGGUUUUAGGGGUAGGGAGGAGUUUUCUUUUAGAAUCUCUCGUACUAGACUUUUUCUCGAGAGAGCAUUAAGAUGAUCAAAAAUUCAGAAAGGACCAGCAUUUCCUAAGGCUAUCCAUAAUAAAUGCAAAACAUUGCAAUACUGAUUUCGACAUAAAACCAUUAAAAAUUAGAUUUAAAUAUUUUAUAAAAGAAUAAAAGAUUUCAACUUGACAUGUUUUACCAUGUCGGUCAAUAUGUAUUGGAUAACAUAAUACAAACUAAAACUAUUGAUUAAAUAGAAGGUUAUAUGAUGCUGCCUAAAUGAAAGAGUUUAGUUCUCCUGCAAUUUUGUGUUGGUCCAUUAAAUCAUGAUCUUUGUGCAGUAGAUGGACUAAUUCGAAGACUAGACCUUUCAAGGUAGAUUUGUGGGGCAAACGACAUAGGAAGAUGUCAUCAUGAUCUUGCACCUGGAUCAUGUCAUGAAUACGGAAAAAAGAGCUAGGUAUGUUCCCCAUAUGCUCUGAGAACUGCGCCUUUGUUUCCCUCUCACCCUCCCACUCAAUCUCGAUGGGGAAGAAACCUCGAAAGCGCUCAGAAUCAAAUGCAGACCAAGUCCAUAGGUGAAUGGCGCUAUAACCUUCAUGGAGAUAUAGAUUGGUGUUACUGUAGUUACGAUGAACCCAUAUAGUAGCUCCUAUAUCUAUCCACUUUUGAAUCCUUAAACUAUAUCUAUUUAGGACAUGUUUGGGAAAUCCAGUAGGAUUGGGCUGGAUUUCCUAGAGAUUGUCGGUCUUUUCAGCCUAUAUUCUUCUAAAGGCAUCCUAAUCUUAGUCUAAAUCCCAUCUGUGGUUCUGUUGGGCUGUAGGAGAAAAACAAACACCAAUAGAAUAAAAAAGAUAUGGUAUUAUGUAGGCUUUGUCCAAAUAGACCACCUACAUUAUAAAUUGAAUAGAAAAUCUAAUCCAAUCCUACUGGAUUUUCCAAGCAAGCCCUUAGGAGGCUUAUCUUGAUUGCAAAGCCCAAUAUAAAAUCUAAAAUAGAAAUCCGAUGAUGUGUCAAUAUGGGGCACAUCUAGAUGGACUCAAUAUGCAUUAACUCCAAUAUCUCAUUCAAUAUAAAUGGAGAGGAUUCCAACUCAAGAUUAAAACCUUGCCAAAAUGAGAGAUACAAUAGAAGGUCGAUCAUUUGUUUCCAUGGUUUUUGAGCAGCGUCCUUAUCACUCCCAACCCGAAGUCAUGAAAUGAGCAUGUGGCAUACGGCUACACAUCGUGUAGGCUCUUACCCCACAAGACAUGCCAAGAUCGUAUUCUUCUUUCACUAAUAUAUUCAACAUGACAAUAGAUUAGACAAUGACACAUUUGGAGCAUCUACACUUACAAAAUAUUUUAACAAUAAAAUCAAAUAAUAUCUAAUUUAAAUAGUCCAAGACAUAGUCAUAAAAGUUUUGAAGGUUCAUACAUUACAUAUUUUCCAAAGUUUUUAGUAAUCUAAAAUAAAAAAAAGGCUAAACCUAAUCCACUAACGCUCAACCCACAAUCGUCGUUUGAGUUACUCCUGAGCAUUUGGAAGGAAAAGAAAAAAAAUGAUGGUGAGCCAAUAGCUCAGUAGGUAACCUUUAUCUCUAGUUGGAUCAAGCAUAUUACGUACAAAAAAUACCAGCUUUCAUACCAUAUGAUUUUCAAUUAUCAAUGAAAGCAAUUUUACCAAAUAUAUGAUGAGAUUUUCACAAAAGCAUGUUUGCUAAUAUAAUUUUCAGAUAUUUAAUGUAUCUAGCAAAAACACCUUUUCUUUUUAAGGAAUUUUCAAUUUUAGUUAUUUGAAAAAUCUACCCACUUUUAGUCCUUGCGACUAGCCAUGAUUAGCCCCGUGACAGGCUUCAAAGAGACUAGCUCCUUAAUACGAAACAUGCCAUCGAUUAAUAUAUGCCAACAAAUAGUAUGCGCCAGAGAUCAUUCCCAAUUGACCUUAAAAAAAAUAGCUUCUGAAUAUAUGUAACUAAUGAUCAACCCCAUUGGCUAGGCUUGAAACAUAGUCAAACAAAAUAGCAACAUAACAUCCAUUCUAAAUCAAUUACUCAGCCAUAUAACCAAUCCAAAAAAUCCAUAAGUUUUAUAAACAACGUUGAUAGUCCAUUUCAUAUAACUUAAUCAUGUCCAAUCCAAUCAAUUCCUAUUUUGAUGCAACAUAAUUCAUUAUUAUACCCAUGUAAAAUAUUUUAUGCUUGAUCCAUGAAUUAGAAAUUUACUUUAUAUAGAGCAUACACUAUUGGUAUCUCAAACAUAACUAUAAAUAUGCAUAAAUAAUUUUCAUAAUCUUCAUUUCAAAUAUUUAGGCUAUUUUUCUGAAUGCAUGUAUAAAAUUAGUAAUGCCAUCAUUUUUUGGAAACUGAAUAUAUGAUAUGAAAAAUAAAAAUACUAAAGGCAGAAGUGCUCACAUAUUUCAAUCGAUACAGUCUUAGAUAUUUCACCCAAAGACUGUGCAAGAUCUGAAACAAUUAAAGUGAAUUAUUAGACUUCCUUAAUAUCGUAUGAUCUUUGUCUCACUACUUACAUACAGAAGGGACUGAAUGUCUUGUCUCUCCUCAAAGAAAGAAAGAGGAGAGAGGCUUACAAGGGGCCCAUGGUGCUCAAUAGGUGAUUGUGAGCCUUUAGCAAGGCAGCGAAGACAAAGGAUACAGUCGGAGGAGUGGUUAUUUCCAUCUUCAAGGCGGGGUUCAAGCCGAUUAAUAGGGAAAAUAAGGGGUUUGGGUCAUGGCCUCUUGCCAACGACUGGNNNNNNNNNNNNNNNNNNNNNNNNNNNNNNNNNNNNNNNNNNNNNNNNNNNNNNNNNNNNNNNNNNNNNNNNNNNNNNNNNNNNNNNNNNNNNNNNNNNNNNNNNNNNNNNNNNNNNNNNNNNNNNNNNNNNNNNNNNNNNNNNNNNNNNNNNNNNNNNNNNNNNNNNNNNNNNNNNNNNNNNNNNNNNNNNNNNNNNNNNNNNNNNNNNNNNNNNNNNNNNNNNNNNNNNNNNNNNNNNNNNNNNNNNNNNNNNNNNNNNNNNNNNNNNNNNNNNNNNNNNNNNNNNNNNNNNNNNNNNNNNNNNNNNNNNNNNNNNNNNNNNNNNNNNNNNNNNNNNNNNNNNNNNNNNNNNNNNNNNNNNNNNNNNNNNNNNNNNNNNNNNNNNNNNNNNNNNNNNNNNNNNNNNNNNNNNNNNNNNNNNNNNNNNNNCUAACAUCACCUACUAUAUAUAUAUAUAUAUGACGUAACAAAGGUGAUGACAUGCUUUUGUCAUAUUCUUAGAUUCUAUUUCUUGACUACAUGGAGCUUUCUAGGUUAUUCCACAACCAUAAACUAGAUAUCAGAGCAUGUAAGUCACCCUUUGCAUGGACGUGUCAGAUUUUUCUUAAAAACAAUAGAGAUGGAAACAUCUAAGAAUUAGAUACAACAAUGAUUAAUAGUUAUUUUUCGACCACUUUGGAGAAAAAAAUGCAUGUCCCAAUUACUUUAAGAGUAAUGUGGCUUCCAUCUUCUAUAGUGUAAGGCCCGGCUUGCAAGCCGACCUAACACAACUUGGCCAACUUGGCCUACUCCAUUGACUAGCCUAGUUGGAUGUGUGUAAUUGGGCUUGGCCCCUUUAGCCUGGCCUAGUGUUCAAGCACGAACUCCUCCUUCCUAAUCUUUGAUAAGGUAGAACCUCUAUUCGAGUCUAAGGAGAACUCCUCCUCCCUAAUCUUUAACAGGAGCUAGGAAACCUUAACCGCCAUCCUUAUUUAAACAUACCCGCACCCUCCCCCUUCAAGCUACACAUGAGCCUCUCUCCUCUUUUCUUCUUUGUCUCUUUUCUCUCUCCCCCUUCUUCCUCUCCUCUCUCUCUCUCUCUCUCUCUCNNNNNNNNNNNNNNNNNNNNUUCUCUUCUUCUCUCCCUCCUUCCUCUCUCUCUCUCUCUCUCUCUCUCUCUCGAAUUUCACUGUCAUGCCCUAUUUUUGGGCUCACCAUCAUUGUGGAUGAUUCUUGCUGGAGAAGAAGUAUUAAGCACCCCAAUCAUAUUUGAUCUAUUUUCUGGUCUACCCCCUUCCGUACAGAGCCAUCAAUGGUUAGAUUUUGAUGAAAAAUUACUGAAUUUUGCUGAUAAAUUCUUCUCCUAUUUUGGGUAUCUGUUGGUUUUUGUUCCUUAUUUUUGGAGUCGGUCACCAUUGUUUCUCCUUGCUAGCCAUCUCCCCUUGAAGGACCAUGGCUAACCUUAAAGCCUAGCCGUCAACGAGCAAGCUAAGACUCAAUUCGACAUCGAACCUUAUAACAUGGAUUUUUUUCUAUUUUUGGUUUGUUUUAUUUAUUUUUUCUUGCUAGUCACCAUCAUCGCCAGCUGCUCACCUUCUCUACUGACAAUGAUGGCCAGCCUUUCAACCAUCGCCAUCAUCUAACUAUAGUAACCCUUUGUCCCACUGAUUUUCAAUCAAACUCCUAUUUUGAACACUUUCUUUUCUUUUUACUCUGCAAUUAACCUCCCACUACUGCCAGCUACUCAUUCACCACCACUACCCCCCAAUCGCUGGUCCUCUGGCCAUUGACCAAUGCUGCUAUUGCCAGGCUGCUUCCACAACUCUUCUUCUUCCUCCAUCCUAAGAGGAGAUGAAGACAUGUCCCCUUUCACUCACUCUCUCUUCUAUCUCUCUCUAUGCAUCUGAAUGAAAUGUUGUAGAGAAUCCUCUCUCUCUUUUGUUCCUCUCUAUGUUCUUGGGUUGACCCCAAUAGAGGAUCCUGAACUGAUCGUAAAACAACCUUUUGUGUUGGCCUCCACUCCGGCCUUUGUCAGACAACAAUGGACCCCAUCAUUAACAAGUCAUGACAUGCUACUUUUGUUCAAAUUGGACUUCUACUCCUUGAUUUAGCGAGUUGAUGCUAGAUUUGUCCCACUCGGGCAACUAGGCACCGUUAUCCUUGAUUUUGGUUCUAUGAAGGAGCAAUCAUUCAGGCAAGAAAACACCGAGCAAGUGUUUUUAUGCUUAGUCUGUAUAUCUAGGUAAGACCCUAAAUUCUUAUUUAUUUAGUCUUGAAUUAGAUAGGAUAGGAAAAUAGGGCUAAGAAUAAUUCUGAUAUUAAGAGUUUGAAAUUAGUAAAUUAACAUUGUUGGUGUCUAGUUAAGGAUAAGUUGAUUAUAUAUUGUUGUUAAAUUAAUUAGCUUUGUUAGGUGUGCCCUCGAAUUGGUAAAUAUUGUAUUUGAGUUUGUCACUAACAAAGGUAAGAAUUUCUGUACAUAAUCACCUGUAUAUAUAUUAUGCCUAUUUAUAUUCAAUGGUUUUGUUGGUUUUGCAUGGGAUAAUAUCAUUCAUUGCAUGAUUGCCGAUAGGAAUAUAUAAGUAUAUAUUUCUUAUUUGAAUAUAUAUGUCAUAUUUCAAUAUUUUGGCUGCAUAGAAUAUAAUACUAGUUGCUUGAUUGUCAGUAUGAAUAUUAUAUAUAUAUAUAUAUAUAUAUCAUGUUUCUUUGAUCGUAUUUAUAUAUUUGAUAUAUCGACAAUUUUGGUUACAUGAAAUAUGAUACUGAUUAAUUUGAAAUUUGGCAAGGAAUAUAUCAUUCAAUUAUAAUUUUAUUUGGAAAGAAUAAAAUUAAUCAAUCAGAUGGAUGAAUAAGAAAUAUUUGCAAUGACCUUAUCAAGUGGAUAUCCUCUACGAGUUGUACAUGGGGUAGCCUCUACAAGCUUAUACGUGGGAUAGCUUCUACGAGCUUAUGUGUGGGAUAGUUUCCAUGAGUUUACAUAUGGGAUAGCUACCACAAGCUUACACAUGAAAAUUUUGUUUUGCUAGUCAUGGAUUGGAGCAUGCUUGGCUAGUCCAAAAUUGAAAAGUUAAUUGUUAUUAGAUCCAGAAUUGUGAUAAUAAGAAAUGGAUGAUAAGAUACAUGAAACCAUUAUUGAAUACGAAGGUUUUACUUGAUGAUAUUUGAGAUACAUCCUUUUUGAACAAGAAGGAUAUUUGAUGAUAGAUGUUUCAUAAUUAUGUAUAUAUACAUAAUUAAGUUGUGCUGGGUAGUUGGUAUUCGAUUCCACAAUAAUUGUAUUUAUUUCAAUAUUAUUUUUUCUAUUUUCUAAUUCUAUAUUAUUUAUAUUGGUAUGGAUGUAUGGGGAUUCUUACUGUGCUGUUAGCUCAUACCACUUCUUCACUUCUAUUUAGAGUUGCAGGAUGCUAGUACUUGACUGUGGUUUGGGAUCCUGGUGAGAGCAUGAAUAGCUAGAAUGUCGCUGAUACCAGUCAAAUAAUUAAGAUUUGUAAUUGAACAACUCAUUUUUCUUAUGACUAAAGGAUUAUUUACCUUGUUAUCAAAUGAUAUUUAUAUUGUCCAAUAAUUUGAUCGAGGAGAAGAAAAAUUUUCUUCAACUCGCUAAAUUUGAAUCUCUCUCAAAAAAAUUACAAGAUGAAGAAAUUACGAAAGUAGGGAUUAAAUCUCAUUUUCUUUUAUUAAUGGUAAAAAAAAUAAGGUAUACAACUUUUAUUGAUAAUGGUGAGGUUCGUCUUUUCAUAAUUUGGGUUAAAUUUUUCUUUCUAAUUUUGAUACAACUCUCUUUUUCUGAAAUAAACAUCAUUAGUAAAAAUAAACUCGAAAAAACUAAAAUUUGUUAGAAGAUAGAUCUUGAUUUUUACAUCAACUCUGCCUUCUGUAGCUCUGCUCGAUUCUUCUUGGAUGGAGAGAUAUGUCUGAAAAGAAAACUUUCGAUUUGAUUGAUCCGUUUCAAGCCCUAAACGAUAGAAUGUGGGUUCGACCGCUAGAGGCACUGCCCCCUAAAGGGCCUCUAAAAAACUAUCCAAUUUUUAAAAAAGAAAAAGUAUCUCAACGGACGUCGUAUGACCAAGUUAUGGCUUUCAAAAAUUUGGCCUACAGCUUGGAUUUCCGAUGUGGUGGAUCUCGCUCCUGGAUCUUGUCAAGUCUUACCUAUAGUGGUCUACAUCGAGUUUGGAGAUCUUUCUAGAUAAUCCAAUCAUAUUGAGGUUGUGACGAAUUUAUGUACAGACCUUGCAUACUCUUUAAAAUUAUGCUCUAAGGGUCGUGGCCGACCCAUGUGACGGGUUUGAAGUGUGAAAUAUAGUAUCAAAAUAGAUAAAAAUAAUAAAACUAGUCUGAGAUUUAGAAUUUAAAUCAUCAUAAUGGUUAAAUUACCCAGGUGGCUUAGUUGAUAAAAGCCUACUAUUUCAGAUGUCUAAAGAUUCGACCCAACAGAUAAUUCUAGAGCAUGGUCAAAUUAAUAAUGACUAAAUGCUUAGAACUGGAUGAGAAAUGAUGGAUGCCAGAAUUGAUACUAAAUUAAAAUUUUGAUCUUUGAUUUACUUUUGCAUACAAAAUUCAGCCUAUGUUUUUUGUUCUGAGUGAUGAUCAAGCUAAUGAUUGAAUGGGGGGAGCUUGUCACAACCUAUUCCUUAAGAAUCUCUCCAUAAGCACUUGGAGGUAUCAUACCAAGCAAUCAAUAGUUUGCACUUUCAAAACCAAUCAGUGACAAUUUAGACUAUACUUACUAGUUUUCUUUAUGAUCUUAAACUUCUAAUGCUAAACUUUGUCUAUCCGGUAGGAUAAAAUAUUAGCAAUAUUAGAUAACAAAUUGAUUCCAAAAGUUUAAGAUUAUAGGAGAUAUACAAGCAAGGAUUACUGAGUCAAGAUAGAGUCUCAACUAAUCUAAGCUUUGAUACCAUACUAGCUAACUAAUUGAUCCCAAAAGCUUAAAUAUGAAAUGGAACAAUAAUGUAUAUAAGGCCAAACAAACAAAACUCAUAUCAUAGAUGGGAAAUUAAAUUUCACAUACCUAGUUUAAUAGUACAUGCAAAUUCAUUAGAUUGCUAGUUCUUUAGAUUAAGGGGACAUGUCUCAUUCUUGAGAGGAAGGAGGGGAGACUCAUCCAAUCUAAUGGCCUGCUUAAUAUUCACCCUAGAAAAAAGAUAUAUUCCCGAUGUUUUUUAAUUAAUGCAUAUACCGAUGCUUAAAAGCGUCGGUAUUUUUAUUGUCGUUGCUUUCUAAAGCGUCGGCAAUGUAAGCGCCAAAAUUUUAUCUUUUAUUGCCCAAUUAUGGACGCUUUACCGAUGCAUAAAAGCAUUGGCAAUACAUCUUUUAACAAUGCUUUAAAGUGUUGUUAGAGUUAUUUUUUAAAAAAAUAUUUAAUUUUUUUUAAAAAUUUGUAUACAUUUACUAAACAUUUACAUAAUAAAAGUCACAUGUCACAAUCAAACAGAUCAUUUGAAAUAUUCAUAAUGUCAAAUAUGAUUACAUUAACAUUAUCAAUUUAUAUUUACAGUGUGCUUUGAAACAUAAAAACUAUAUAUAUAAAACUCCUAAAUAAAUAGUCUAUGAGGUAUCAGGGGCCAAUGGCAUCAUCAUCAUCAUCUCUACGAGUAGAUGAAGUAUCAGGAACCUACAAAAAAAAUAGAAAGUUUAGAAGUUAAGAACACGAAAAUCAUUAAGCUCAUACAAAAAUACAUGAUAAUUAUGUAAAAUAUUUAAAUAGAUAUAGUUAUUUACCUGAGAAGAGGCAAACCUAUAUAACAUAGAUGCGAUCCGGUUAAGCUGCGCCCUCAAAGAUUGUAUCUGUUUCUGAUGAUUCUGCCUCAUCUACUCUAUUUCUGUAUGAUGGCUCUGCCUCAUCUCCUCUAUCGCUGUCUUCAGGCUACAAACUUCUAUAGUGCUACUAUCUUGUUCGGCAUGUUGUGUAUAUCUGCCAGAAUUCGUCACUCGACCAUAAUGCUCCAGCUGAGCCCAUCAAUUCGGCGAACACCAAGCUUCGACGCGAUUGAUCUUGGUGGAUGAUGAUGACUCUCCAACACACUCUGAAAUAAAGGAUGUAUCCAUGUCUUAUAUCUCUCAAAAAAUAGUCACAUAUUAAUGUUUGAAAAAAUAAAACUAAUAAAAAAUUAUUACAUAAAUUAAAGAUGAAUUCAUACAACUAUAUCUCUUGACUCCUUUCGGAUAAAGCUUCCAUCUCGGUGGGUGUGAGUCAUCCUAUAGAAUUUUACCUCACCAGGCUCCCUCCAAUGCUCUUCCAUCUAUUACAAAAAAUAUAUUGACAAAUAAUAUAUCAUGAUAUGUGAUAUAUGAUAGACGAGUUUUAAAGAGUUUCAAAAAAACUUACGAAUUCAUCUCUACGCCUCGUAUAACUCUUUGAGCCUGAAGUGUGAGUAACUGCCUGAGAUACUCAUGUAGCUCUACUAAUAUCGAAAUAUGUCUGCUAAAAAAAUUAAACAAUGUAAUAUAUUCGAUAUAUAUAUUCGCAAGCUAUAUUAAUAAUAAAUACUAUUUAAGAUAUUGAGAGAGCAUACAUAACUUGUCCCUUCUCAAAAAACUAGUAGUGAGCAAGCUCCCUCCACUGAUGAGGGUAUACAUCAAGAGGAUAAACACGAGCAACCUCCUCCUCUGUCAUACCUUCGCCCUUGUAGUCCAUCUUCAACUUCGCCUUAUAUUCUUUCCAUUUGCAGUUGAGGGACUUUAGCACCUAAUAAUGGCUCUCUGGAGAAAGCACAAACUUACUCUACACCGAAGUAAAGAAUGUUAUAAUAAUAUUAAAUCAAAAAUUAAAAUUAUGAUAGUAAACAAAUUAACAUACAGGAGGUAUCAAAUUAAUAAUAUCAAAUUCAAUUCUUUACCUAUACAACUCUAAGAAGCUCAACCUUAUACAAAGGAAGCAUAUUAUUCCACUUCGCAUAGUUGAGUGGAUACAACUGAUCCUUACACGCAACCGAUUCUAAAAAACUUAAUAAAAGGCUUCCAACCCUCUAGAUGGGCUGCCCCAGUUCGUUGCAUCGGAUGACAAUCUGUUAAAUCUAUUAAAUUUAUUAAUUAUUGCAGCUGCUUCUUGUCCUCCUCUGAAAUUUUGUUAAAUUUUCAAUACUAUGUCGAAGAGCAUCUCUGAGUAAGCCUCUUAUAUUAUCUUCUCCUAUAGAAUUUUUUUCUAUGUUACUGAAUCUAAAACUAGAUGUAUGAUCUAUAUAAGAGGGUUGGUUACAUGGAGACGGUAAUAUUGACUCUUCAUGAAAUACUCAUUCAGUAUAAUUCUUUAGAAAACCAUUCCACACCAAAUAUUCUUCAACAAUUUUUGAAGUGAAAGAAGAACAAUUUAUAUAUUUUUGACAUGGACAUAAAAUCUUUCUGUUCAUAUUAGAUUUUUCAAAAGCAAAUUUAAUAAAAUUCUGUACUCAAUCCAGAUAUUCUUUGCUGGAUCUUGACUUAUUUAUCCAAAUUUUGUCUAUUCUAUUAGAAUACUAAUUGAACUGCAACUUAUCAAAAAAAGAUAAACAAAAUUAGACACUUAUCUAUUAAGUAUACUUCUCUCAACAUUUAAGUAUACUUUGACUUUAAUCUUAAUACAGCUUCAUGAAUCUCAUAUGUUCGACUUUAUGAUUGAAAAACAUUCAUUUCAUUGAUACAAAAAAAAACAUCCACUUCAUCAAAAAAAGUUGAAGCUGAAGGAAACAAUUUCAAAGAGCACCACAUUUGGAGCAGACAUAUUCAAAAGAAAAAAGUUUAUAGACAUAUAAAUAAAAACUACAAUAUGGAGACUCUUAAUAUAAUUCAUUCAAUUGUAUUGCCUCCAUGAUUUGAAGAUAAAUAUAAUUCACUGUGAGAGUCAUAAGUGCAGUAACCACAGAAAUGGCCAAAUUCCUAUGAGUAUUGAAACCAACGCAAGGCAACGGCUUCACCAACAUUUUGGACAAAUAUUAUCCAUGCAUGAUUUUCCUUAAUCUCAACAAACAUCUCUAAAACUUUUAAUGGAACAAUUGCAUCAACAUUUCUUUCCAUUUCCUCCAUGAUUUCCAACUAGAUAUAGUGUCAUUAGACACAAUAUAUGUAUAUAUGUAUGUAUUCAGUUGAGCAAUCCCUCUUUUAUUUUCUCUGUUAAACCUCUUUUCAUUUUCUGAAACUGGAGAUCAAAAAAUGACCAAAUAGAAGAAAAAUGAAAACUAAGAAGAAAUCAGAAACCGGAGAUCCUAUUGAUCUCCCAAAUUAGAGCAUUGAUCAAGAAAUCCAUGGAUUUCCAUCACGACAAUCUCACGAGACACAAAAAUCCACUAAAAAUUGAUCAAGAAUCGGAAUAAAUCCAGCUAUGUAGAAAAAAAAAGUGGUAAAUAGACAUACCUUUCGAUGACCCUCGAGAGGGAGGGAAGCGUUGUUGGGAGAAAGAUAGAGCAAGGAAGAGAAGGGAUGCCUUGCAAAAUCGGGUGGGUCGCUGGAGAGGAAUUGGGAAGCCGGAGAGGACGGAGAGGAAUUAGGAAAAUCGGUUGGGUCGCCGGAGAGGAAGGAGAGGAAUUGGGAAGCCAGAGAGAAAGGAGAGGAAUUGGGAAAUCAGGAGGCUAGGGAUUGGAUUGGGUUGGGGUUUUAUUGGCAUCCGAUUAAUGGCCCCCGAAGCAUCGUCUAUUAAACUGCUUCUGACGAUGCUUAUAAGCUACAAGAUAGCUUCCAACAACUCUAUUAAGCGCUAUGGCUUCCGCCAACGCUAACAAGCGUCGUCAGCUUUGGACAACGCUUAUAAACGUCGUCUUAGUAUAAUUCUUACAGACGCUACUAAAAAGCAUAGACAAUAUUUGACGCAUUGCCUAAAUUGCCGACGCUUUCUUCUAGCGUCAGCAGAUUAGAGUCGGAGGAUACUAUUUUUCUUGUAGUUAUUGCUCUUGUUUUUUCAUUUUUGAUUUCAAAAACCAAAGAAGAAAAUGAAUCAGACCGAACAACAUGUACAAUGAAACCUUCCACCUCUUUAAAUUGAUUGUAAAGAUGACUAGAGCUCUUGGUAGUAGAACUCUUGAUUUAAAUUGAUUCGAGUGAAAUUAAAAGCAAGUGAAGCAGAAGUUCUGUAUGAUUGCUAUCUUCAGUAUAUAUCUGUACAUGAUAUUUCACCAACUUUUAGGUAAACAAAAACACAAAAACAAAUGCCGGACAAGCCAUAAAUUAUCGAGGUUCUAGUUGGAGAAGGCACUAAGGAGAGGCGGGUUGGGACUCCUGGGGCAUCUCACAUUUCAGUGUACCGUUAGGGAGCAUUUUCAUUCAUCAUCCUGAAAUGGCCGGCCUGGCCCAAGAUUAGAGUCGCCUCUGUUGACCUCUUCCAUGCGGUCAUCCAAUUAUUCCGCCCUAAGUACCUAUCCCUUUCUUUCUUACAACAUUUUGCAUUCCUCCACCUAAACCGUGCUCACUAAGAAAACCUCCGUCUCCAGAUGAUGGGUGAUCGUGAAGAGCCUCAGGUAGAGUGAUCUCAAUUCACUGUCCUAACACACUUGGUUUUCUUUUGAUAUGUUCUGAAGCUAGGAGCGGCCAACGAUUUUCUUCCCUUGUCAGCUUGUAGAUUUCUUUUUUCUUGAUUUUUCUUUAUUUUACACAAGUUCGAGGGUCCUGGGUUUUGACGCAUAAUAGCAAAUCUCCAACUCAAAGUUUUUAUCCACAAAUAUCAUGUACCUUUUCAAUUUUUCUUGGUUAUUGAUAGGGUGAAAAGCCCAGAAUUUUCUUCUGAGAAAUCUCUCCAAUUCAUUUGGAACCUCACUUUAUUUUUCUGAUAUGUCCCAGUGAUAGUUCAAAUAUGAGAAAAAUGAGAUGUCUAUUUUGGCUUCUUUUUUUUUUUUGUAUGAACCGGGAGGAUUAACCACCCAAUUUAUUCAUCGAAAAGGUAUUUACAUGAGGUUUGGUUAUAAAAGGUUGACCCAAGCUGUGAGGGUGCUUGUGUCUGUUUCAGAUCUGAUGAAGGGAAAACAAAUUAAAGUCUGAGGAAGUGAGUCGGAGCAGUCCUGAGCAGGUUCACCAUUUGAGGGCAUAUUCUAAGUUCCGGCAGGGAGUUCCGUUCUUCCAAGAGUGCAAUUAAAGCUGAUUUCUAUUGUUUUACUGGAAGAAUUUGCCUCGAAUUUGAAGAUCCUAUCGCUUCAAAUAGUUCUUAUUUUUUCUAUACCCUAUAUGAUGAUUCUACGAUGUUUUGAAAGCUUAGUGAUUUAAGUUUAUUUUGUGAAUUUCUGAAGUAGAACCCAUGACUUACAUGUGCUAUCAUGAUCGAUCACAUGGACGGAAAGAUAUAUAAAUAAUAAACACCAUGGACUUCAAUUGCUGCGUCUCAAACUAUAAAUUACAUGAGGUCUUUGGAACCUGUUGUCUGCGAUCAUCUAGUUUAAUUUUUGGAUUUCGUUUUUUGCUUCAUCUCUUCAAUGACUUGUUAUGAGGAGCUUCUGACCUUUUGCUGUUAGAAUUAUUUAUAGCCAUUACUUUCCUUUUCUGAGGGAAAUUCCUCAAGGACGACUUGAUAUUAUUAUAUGCCACUUUCUCUUCUUCCGAUUCUAGUGCUGUUUCUAGUUCUUUUGUUGAACUAAUUUAUCUGGGAGUAUGGAUAUUUUUUACUGAUAUUUUUAGUAGUUCCACCAAAUUAUAUUUUUGCUAACUAAACAUGGCUUUGAAAGAACUGGCGCUUCUCCUGGUCUUCUCUUUUUGACAAUGGAACCAAACAUGAACAGAUCCUUGCUCUUAGGUAUUCUCAUCAAACCUCCUCUCGUCCCCAACUUUGAGGUUGACUUCGUUUACUUAGUCUUCUAUAUUUUGUUUUUUAUUCUGAACCAAGGUUCAGGUCAUGAUGCCGACAGAUUGUACGUUUAUGUAUCUUGAUUAUAUCCUUAUAGAUAAUUUCUUUGUGCCAUAAUUAUCUAAUUUGUGUUUUGGAAGCAUGUCAGCAUUAUGAGAUGUAAAUGUUUGUAACUAACCCAAAUUCUAUUUCUGACAAGGUGAAAAAAGUCACACUUUCUGAUCACUUGAAUCAAAUGCAUUUACGUGACGUUAAACUCAGAUAGAAAGAGGAAGGGAGGGCGAGGAGGUCAAUUAGUUAUUAUAGUUGUUGCUACUAAAUGGAUCUUGAAGCACAGUGAUGAGGGAGAGGCGCUCUAAUAUUAAUGGGGUUUAGAAUGGGAUACGGCAUGAAAUCUUGAAUCUCUUGGUUGUACGUUGUCAGCUUCCUAGAGUAACAAGGUUAAGUAGGCAUAGCCGUUGCAACAAGACAAAAAGAAAGAAGUGCCAGCGAAAACAUGUUGUGAUAUUUUAUGUUCUUUCAUAUCAGAAAUAGGAAUUGCAGGUUAAUUCCAAAGCAUUUCAGGUGUUUCCAUCCCUAAUUCAUGGAUCUAAUUAUAUUUGUUUUCUAAGGAAAGGUCAUUCAUUAAUUUUUUACCAAAAAAAGUUCAUUCAUUAACUAGAUUUCAAAAAUGAAGUAAUUUUUUGAGUAGUUAUAUACUACAUUAUAAAUCUCAAAAUUUGAAAACUGACUUGACUAAGUGUGGCUCUCUAACCAAUAUUUCUCAUCAUAUUUUCAUGGUUGUUUGUGAGUAUAGCAUUUUUGAUGUCUUAUAUGGCAUGUCUACAGGGAAGUCUUGUGCUAGGUAAUAUAUAUUUUGACUUGUGCUGGUUGGCAUGCAUUAAAUAUCUAUUAUAGCUAGGCAUAUUGCCAUUUUAAGUCUUUAAUAUAAAAGAAAUCUUCAAGACUUCUUUGGUUUUAACUAAUGGAACCCUAAACUAUAUAAAAGCAUCUUAAUUUCUUGAUUUUUUUAAUUCCAAAAAUAACCCUUAGCAACUUUAGUUAGAUUUCUCUCUUAGAAGCCUCAGUAGAAUAUCCAAGACUUCUAUAAAGAAGGGAUUAUAAUAUUGCUAGACUUCAGGUAUAAAGAAAAUGAACGAAGACAUUUCAAAUUAACAACUAAUAGUAAAUUCAAGUUAGCAAGAAAAAAGUUUAAUUGAAAUAUUUAAAAUCUAAAAGCUUUUAUUGAACAAGGAAGAAAGAAACAUCUGAACCUAUAAAAUAUUUAGUUUAUAGUUAAAUGUUUAACUAUAAACUAAAUAUUUUCAAAAAUUUUAAAAUUUAGGUUUUAAUUAAAUUAUUUGAGAUUUAAUAUUUUUACAAGUUGCAUUUAUCUGCUCGUGCAUUAUAAUUAGUUACUAGUGAAAAGGACUAUGCAAAAGUUAUGAUCCCUUACAGUGGGCAGAUUUAAUUAAGUGUUGUCACCACAGCAAUUUAUAGUUAUCUCCUUGUCAGUAGUGUACUUUAGCAAGGUCUUAACUGCUAUUUUUAUUUGUUGAAAGAUCUCCUGUAUAUAUACUUUAGUUUCUUAAUAUUGCUUAAAGGAAUUCAUUACAUUGGAUUCACGGCAAACAUUUAUCGCACCAUAACUGUUUUUUUGAAUAUAUCUAUUAUAUGAAAAUUUUCGNNNNNNNNNNNNNNNNNNNNNNNNNNNNNNNNNNNNNNNNNNNNNNNNNNNNNNNNNNNNNNNNNNNNNNNNNNNNNNNNNNNNNNNNNNNNNNNNNNNNNNNNNNNNNNNNNNNNNNNNNNNNNNNNNNNNNNNNNNNNNNNNNNNNNNNNNNNNNNNNNNNNNNNNNNNNNNNNNNNNNNNNNNNNNNNNNNNNNNNNNNNNNNNNNNNNNNNNNNNNNNNNNNNNNNNNNNNNNNNNNNNNNNNNNNNNNNNNNNNNNNNNNNNNNNNNNNNNNNNNNNNNNNNNNNNNNNNNNNNNNNNNNNNNNNNNNNNNNNNNNNNNNNNNNNNNNNNNNNNNNNNNNNNNNNNNNNNNNNNNNNNNNNNNNNNNNNNNNNNNNNNNNNNNNNNNNNNNNNNNNNNNNNNNNNNNNNNNNNNNNNNNNNNNNNNNNNNNNNNNNNNNNNNNNNNNNNNNNNNNNNNNNNNNNNNNNNNNNNNNNNNNNNNNNNNNNNNNNNNNNNNNNNNNNNNNNNNNNNNNNNNNNNNNNNNNNNNNNNNNNNNNNNNNNNNNNNNNNNNNNNNNNNNNNNNNNNNNNNNNNNNNNNNNNNNNNNNNNNNNNNNNNNNNNNNNNNNNNNNNNNNNNNNNNNNNNNNNNNNNNNNNNNACGUAAAGGAUAACUUGACUCGAGUAUAGUGUUGGCCUUAUGGGAGGUCAGCACCACCCUUUGACUCGGGAGAUCGUAAUUGGCCGUGGACUAACCGCUCGACCCGUGGUACCCAUGUGGUGCAGCCCCUUCUGCCCAUCUAUCGUUUAGUAUAGGGCUUUGCGCUGCCUUUUAUAAGAAAAUAUAGUUGCGUCUUCACUAACAGCAAUUGCUUUUGGUGCAAUGGUAGCGCUUGAUCCUGACAUUUAGUAUAUCAAGUUUCUCGUAAUAUUAUAGGUUUGCGCAAUAUUUAAAUUUCUACAAGACAAGAGAUAUAUUAGCUUUUUCGUCCUAUUUAUUUCUAUGAGAAAACAUGAUCCGAUCGGACUAGGAUGGGACUCAAAAUCCUUCUAUGCGAAAAGAGGAAAAAUAAAUUAAAAAAAAGAAGGAAAAAGGGAGAGAAUAAUGAAAGGAAAAGAAAAUAAGAAGAAAAGAAUAAAAAAAGAAGAAGGAAGAAAGGAAUUAAGAAAAGAAAGAAGGAGAGAAGAUGAAGGGUACUCAUUAGGAUAGCUUUGGGGACAAGAGUGUCCUAAUCCNNNNNNNNNNAAGCACAGAAAGGAGGAAUGGGAUAGUCACAUAUCACAACUCUGCGCGUGUCUGUGUGUAUGUGGUUUUAAUAAUUUUGCAAACCCCCUUGUAUUGAGCUUGCUAACAAAACCAUUUUGUAGGGCUGAUCUCGCGGGUCAGCUGAGACAAGCCUCUUUUGUUAGUGAUGACCUUACCUGGGUUUACUUAAAUCAUUUGUAUGGCUUGUGAACUUCAGCAGAUAUACUCUAUUAUUACGAUCACAAAAAUGGUCGACCGAGCAUAUUUUUCUUUUGUUUUUGAUGUUUGUGGUUCUUCAUCAGUUCGCAUCCAUUUUUUCUUUAUUUUGAAAGUAACAGUGGGAAAUAAUGGAAAAGAUAUUCAUAUUAAAAUUUUGGAUAAAAAACACUUCUGGAAAAGGAUAGAAAUCAUGAUAACCCUUGCGGCAAAAUAAAUAUACACAACGAAAAGGAGGUUUAGAAAAGCAGAAAUAAACCCCUAGAUCAUAAGCCGUAUUCCUAUCAAAGCAGGUUUAUAAAAGCAGGAAUAAUCAUGCAAGAGAACCCAAGAUGCACCAAAUUUUGUUUGUGAUUUCUAGUUUCAAACUACCUUCAGUCAAGAAUAUGGAUUGUAACUGGAUUACCUCAAACUACAUAAAGAUCUCGCCACCUUUUGAGAGAUGUACAUAUAGUAUAUAAACUUUUUUUGUAACUAAUGCAUUUAACGGGAGUAUUUGUUGCCUCCCAUGCCUCAUAAACUCUACGUUGGAGUUAGCUUAGAGCAUUGGAUGAAAAUUUCACUCUAAUCUUUUUUUUUU